GAGGGGAGGUUAAACCAACGGGAACUGCUAACUCUCGCAUCUGAGUAUAAAACCUCAGCCCCCUU
rnacentral:tRNA from 1 species